rnacentral:rRNA from 1 species
AUUGAACGCUGGCGGUAUGCUUAACACAUGCAAGUCGAACGGUAGCAGCUCUUCGGAGGCUGACGAGUGGCGGACGGGUGAGUAACGCGUAGGAAUCUGCCUAUUAGUGGGGGACAACAUGUGGAAACGCAUGCUAAUACCGCAUACGCCCUACGGGGGAAAGGAGGGGAUCUUCGGACCUUUCGCUAAUAGAUGAGCCUGCGUUAGAUUAGCUAGUUGGUGGGGUAAAGGCCUACCAAGGCGACGAUCUAUAGCUGUUCUGAGAGGAAGAUCAGCCACACUGGGACUGAGACACGGCCCAGACUCCUACGGGAGGCUG